AAUUGUUGCAGUGAAAAUAGUCAGCCUUUAUUCUUCGGAUUGAUCAGUAUUCUUUCCGAGAUCCGAGAGUUUUGUGUGAUUCAAUCUUCCUUUUUUUCUGUAGUUGAGACUUAGCUCCUAACACCAACAACAACCAUGGCUGACGAUGAGGCAAAGAAGGCCAAACAGACCGAAAUCGAGCGCAAGCGUGCUGAAGUGCGCAAGCGUAUGGAGGAAGCCUCCAAGGCGAAGAAGGCCAAGAAGGGUUUCAUGACUCCAGAAAGAAAGAAGAAACUCAGGUUGUUGUUGCGUAAGAAAGCCGCCGAAGAACUGAAGAAAGAACAGGAGCGCAAGGCAGCGGAACGUAGGCGCAUCAUCGAAGAACGGUGCGGCAAGGCAAAGAGCACCGAGGAUGCCAACGAAGAGCAAAUCAGGAAAUUCCUCCGCGACUAUCACGCAAGAAUCAAUGCCCUGGAAGAGGAGAAGUUUGACCUUGAAUAUGUAGUGAAGAGGAAAGAUUUCGAGAUUUCCGACCUCAAUGCCCAAGUCAACGACCUUCGCGGUAAAUUCGUCAAGCCAACGCUGAAGAAGGUCUCGAAGUACGAGAACAAAUUCGCCAAGCUGCAGAAGAAGGCCGCUGAAUUCAACUUCCGUAACCAGCUCAAGGUUGUCAAAAAGAAGGAAUUCACCCUGGAAGAGGAAGACAAGGAGGCUAAGAAAUCGGAGAAGGCUGACUGGCAGAAGAAGUAGAUGGGGAUAACAAAACCACUUUUCUUUUAAUUAUCUUUUUUUGUAUAUUUAAAAUUAACUGGAAACCAUAUGUGUCUAUUUAUUAGUUUUGACAAUUAUUAUUGUUAUUUUACAACAACAACAACAACAAAACUUACGGUAAUGUGAGGGCUAGAACUCUUAAUUCGCUGCUAAACCCGCCAUACCAGCUCUGUGCAAAAAGUAAUUUAACGAGAAAUUCGCAAAUAAACAAAACAUCGUUGCAUGGAACGAAAGCGUUCGAGCGAUUAACGUAAAUUAAAAGAAAACGAGUUUUGUAUCUGUUGACCAGUUCCAUGAAACUGUGUGUAAGAUUCGCCCAGAAAAUGCCAGUCAAGUUUUAUAAUGGAAAUGUAUAGAAGAAACCCGAUUGGUCCAAGAAGGGCGACAGCAAGGUAGCGGCCGAAGCGGUCGAAGCCGAGGCAUAAACAUCUCCUGUGCGCUAAUUCUAAAUCUUCGUCCUUACCACCACACAAAAUCCAUAAGCACUCACCUUUAUUUGUCUGUUUUUUAAUCUAAAAAAAUUUAAUAAAAAAAGAAGGCAAAAUAUGUAUAAUUGUCAACCGUA